rnacentral:rRNA from 1 species
AGUGAACGCUGGCGGUAGGCCUAACACAUGCAAGUCGAACGGCAGCACAGUAAGAGCUUGCUCUUACGGGUGGCGAGUGGCGGACGGGUGAGGAAUACAUCGGAAUCUACUUUUUCGUGGGGGAUAACGUAGGGAAACUUACGCUAAUACCGCAUACGACCUACGGGUGAAAUCAGGGGAUAUUCGGACCUUGCGCGAUUGAAUGAGCCGAUGUCGGAUUAGCUAGUUGGCGGGGUAAAGGCCCACCAAGGCGACGAUCCGUAGCUGGUCUGAGAGGAUGAUCAGCCACACUGGAACUGAGACACGGUCCAGACUCCUACGGGAGGCAGCAGUGGGGAAUAUUGGACAAUGGGCGCAAGCCUGAUCCAGCCAUACCGCGUGGGUGAAGAAGGCCUUCGGGUUGUAAAGCCCUUUUGUUGGGAAAGAAAAGCAGCAGGUUAAUACCCCGCUGUUCUGACGGUACCCAAAGAAUAAGCACCGGCUAACUUCGUG